rnacentral:rRNA from 1 species
UACGGGAGGCAGCAGUAGGGAAUUUUCGGCAAUGGGGGGAACCCUGACCGAGCAACGCCGCGUGAAGGAGGAAGGUCUUCGGACUGUAAACUUCUGUUAUAAAGGAAGAAAGGCGGAUACAGGGAAUGGUAUCCGAGUGACGGUACUUUAUGAGGAAGCCACGGCUAACUACGUGCCAGCAGCCGCGGUAAUACGUAGGUGGCAAGCGUUAUCCGGAAUUAUUGGGCGUAAAGAGGGAGCAGGCGGCAGCAAGGGUCUGUGGUGAAAGACUGAAGCUUAACUUCAGUAAGCCAUAGAAACCGGGCAGCUAGAGUGCAGGAGAGGAUCGUGGAAUUCCAUGUGUAGCGGUGAAAUGCGUAGAUAUAUGGAGGAACACCAGUGGCGAAGGCGACGAUCUGGCCUGCAACUGACGCUCAGUCCCGAAAGCGUGGGGAGCAAAUAGGAUUAGAUACCCUAGUAGUCCACGCCGUAAACGAUGAGUACUAAGUGUUGGGAGUCAAAUCUCAGUGCUGCAGUUAACGCAGUAAGUACUCCGCCUGAGUAGUACGUUCNCAAGAAUGAAACUCNAAGGAAUUGACGG